AUAUAUUUUAUUUAUUUUUUGAAGUAAGCUCUACAUCCAACAUAGGGCUUGAACUCAUGACCCCAAGAUCAAGUCACGCGCUGUACUGACUGAGCCAGCCAGGCACCCCAUCAUACUUCCUUAUUUUUGCAUUUCUACUUUAAAGAGGAGUGAUAUCUAAGAAGUGUAUCCUCAUUAUUCAUUUUACAUGGAUAAUUUGGCAACUACCACUGAAAAUAAACAAAAAGCCCUCCCUCAACCCCUCCAGAGCAGUUCUAUUUCUGGCAUCUCUUCUGUGGACUACUGGAGACAUCUUACGUUUCAUUUAAGCCCGUCUUCGUUACUCCUUUGCAAUACCAAGUUGCAGUCUCUGGCUAAGUCUUAUCUCCUUACUUCAUUUACUAUAGAUACUGGGAUACUGUUGCUCCACCUUUUCCCUAUUCUCGUUCCUAAUUAUUUUCUAGUGGCAUAAAUUUUCAUACCUGAUUGUCUUUGGAUGUAGGGGAACAGAACUUGCAGUAUUGAUUUAUCAUGUAUGUUAUUGUCUAUCCUUUCUAUGACCGUUGUUAAACAACAGUGCAAUCUUCUAUUGUCCUUCUCCACACUUCUUCACUCAGUGUUGGUUCUUCUGUUUGCACGAUGGUCCAGCUACAUGCAGUAUUUAAAACAAUUUUUAAAAGUGACAAUUCCUUACAAAACUCCAUUAACUUUUUAAAAAGAUUUUAUUUAUUUGUCAUAGAGAGCAAGCACGGGGAGUGGCAGGCAGAGGGAUUCCUGCUGAGCAGGGAGUCCCAUGCGAGACUUGAUCUCAGGACCCUGGGAUCAUGACCCAAGCUGAAGGCAGGUGCUUAACCGACUGAGCCACCCAUGGGUCCCCAUUAAUUUCUAUUUUAUAUGUGCCUGACCCUUCCCAUUGCCUGACUCACUUUUCUCUUUCUGCACUCAAUUCUGUCAGAAUGUAGCUGUUUCCCAAAGGAAGGGAUGGAGGACGGACAAAACCAAUACAUACCUGCCGCACCAUUUUCAGGGUGGGAGAAAUCUAUUUCUGAAGUCUGAUGGGGAAGAAAAAUGUUGCAUCUGUCUUUAAAAAUAAGUGGAACAUUACCUUCAACAAGAAACAUCCUAAUUAAAAGGCUUUAUUCCAAGAACUCAAAAAGAU
rnacentral:lncRNA from 1 species